AUUGGGCAGUUCAGCCGCUUCUCCACUUGCCCCGCGCGCUCAUUGCGUCUAGGAGGGGAUCCAUUGAUCAGCGAAGCUGUUCCUCAGAGUGGAGGCGGGAUUCUUAGGGGAGAGCUCCUCAGCAAUUGGUUACAUUUGACGGCUUUAGUCCAGGGACCCAGACGCUACUGGAUAAGGCCAGCCCGGAGUGGGCGGGGAAAGGGGAGGAGGGCUAGAAGGGGUGAAAUUUGAGGUCAUAUCCCGGGAGAGAGGAAGAAGGGUCGUGAGUCACCGAACCCGAAGGAGAGGAAAAGAUGUGGAGGCAGCGGUCUAUGGCCUCUUCCAGCUCCGGACGGGGGAUGGGGACGCUCUGGGCAAUACGGGCCUCAGUUAUUGUCCCACUGUCCUUUCAACCCUUAACCAACCCAGUUGGAGGCCGCCUGGAAGAAUGUAGCCUUGGAACUAGGGCCUGGAAUUGGGGCUCCUACCGGUUGUGUGGGCUUGGGCAAGUCACUUAACCUUCCCGCAUGCUCCCUUCACUUGGCAACUGAGGGUAACAAUAGUAGUUGAUGAGAAGAUUAAAUAAACUCUGAUAAAUGCCAACAGUGGCU
rnacentral:lncRNA from 1 species